GAUGAACGCUGGCGGCGUGCUUAACACAUGCAAGUCGAACGAAGCACUUUUACAGAUUUCUUCGGAAUGAAGUUUUAGUGACUUAGUGGCGAACGGGUGAGUAACGCGUGAGUAACCUGCCCUGGAGUGGGGGACAACAGUUGGAAACGACUGCUAAUACCGCAUAAGCCCACGGAUCCGCAUGGAUCUGUGGGAAAAGGAUUUAUUCGCUUCAGGAUGGACUCGCGUCCAAUUAGCUAGUUGGUGAGGUAACGGCCCACCAAGGCGACGAUUGGUAGCCGGACUGAGAGGUUGAACGGCCACAUUGGGACUGAGACACGGCCCAGACUCCUACGGGAGGCAGCAGUGGGGGAUAUUGCACAAUGGGGGAAACCCUGAUGCAGCGACGCCGCGUGGAGGAAGAAGGUUUUCGGAUUGUAAACUCCUGUCGUUAGGGACGAUAAUGACGGUACCUAACAAGAAAGCACCGGCUAACUACGUG
rnacentral:rRNA from 1 species